AAAAAGUAACUACAUAAUAUAACACUAACGUUACCGAACUACCAACGGCGUUAGCUAGCUAACGUUAAAUACGUUAAAUCUGCCUGCCAUUGAUAUUUAACUGUACUCAAGAUAGCUAGCUAAAGUUAAUUGUUCAUAAUCUAACGUUAAUUAUGGAAUCUAUAAAACGUUAACUAGUUACUGCUGUAUAGUAACGUUAGCUAGCUAGCGAUGUUGAAUGAAGAUACUUUUUUUGAACUAGUUUGUAACUAAAGUACGUUAGUUAAAACGGCAUCGCCUGUCAAUGCACGGUUGUCUUCAUAGGUCGGAGGCUCAGAGUUGGCACAGUUUAGACAAGAGAACACUUUAGGGGAACUACAUACAGAUAAAAUGUCACUGGACCCGUCGGGUCUGCGGUCUAUUUUUCAGGCUAGAGACCAUGUUGCGGAGCCUUCGGUGGGCAAGUGGUCAUUUGAUUGAUGAAGAGAUGGCCAGCAAUCUAAUUGCUGUUGCCGAGGAGUUCCUACAAGAGGCAAAUGACAUCCAACAACGGGAACCUUACGAAAAUGCCAAUGUCCUGUCAAGUGCCUUUGGAGGGGAGGCGGUAUCACAUCACCAAGGAGCAGCUUGAGUUCCUCAUAGAUUGUCAUAUGACCAUCAGACAAAUGGCAGAUGUUCUCAAUGUGUCGCACUCUGGUCAAGUUGCGCAUGAGGUGUAGGAUUGUUAUCCCUGGUGCUGUGGAGGGUUACAGCAGACUUGUUGUGUUUCUGAAGGCCUCUGACAACAACAGGACCGCCACAGUCAUGGAGUCAUUCGAAGCAGCCAUCACCAGCUACGGAACACCAUCCCAGAAACGUACGAUAGACAUCUUCAACUCUAAACGGAUGGGGACCAGAGUUUAGACACAGGUGGCCUUAACAAAAGUUAAGUACUUCCCCAUUCCAGUACGAUUCUGUUUGGUUAUAUUUGGAGAGAUACGGCCGAUGGUUAUUGUAUUUUGCUCUAUUGCGCUUUAGCACAGCAUUCCAUCUGCUGACACAUUAUUUGUCUUCCACUCAGUACAACACGACCCAGGAGAAGCCUACUGCAAGCACUGGUUUGGAACCUUCAGAGCGUGUCUGCUGUGGGAGGACAACAGAACAUUCCGAAUGGACAUUAUUAAAACAGAACUUACAUUUUUGUAAUGCCCAAUCGGGACUUUUAUAAAUUGUUAAAAUAAAUAAUUGUGUGGAGAACGCCCUAUAGUUAAAAAAAUAAACUAUGAAGAUAGUGGUUUGAACUCGUUACAUUUUAUAUAAUUGUGAUUAACAGCAACCUAUUACAGUUAGUAACAUAACAUUGUGACAGCUCAAAUGAUGUGGUUGAAGAUGGACUAGUGCAGGGCUCCUAACCUUGUUCUUGGAGAGCUACUGUCUUGUUGGUUCACUUUGACCCUAAUCUAGUGCACCUGAUUUGAAUAAUUACCUGCUUAAUAAGUUAAUGAGGUUCGUUAAAACUGAGGUUGGAUUGAAAACCUACAGGAGGGUAGCUCUCCAGGAACAGGGUUGGAGAGCCUUGGACUAAUGAAUCUAGUUCUUAGAUCAAUGCAUUUGAAAUUUGAUAAGUCACUACGAAGGUGCAGUUCCCAGAAGUGGAGAUGUCACUUAAUGCAGUGGAUGGGAAGCCUUAUUUCAUGUAGUUCUAAUUAAAUGAUAAUGGUUGAA